rnacentral:rRNA from 1 species
AUGGAUGGUCUUCUGCAUUGGGAUUUCUCCCCCGGCCUUGUGGUCGCGGCUCAAGUGCGUUGACGCUUUGGUUCUAUGGUUCACUUCUCCCCCUCUGGUUGUAGCAAGGAAUUCUUUUUGGUGGUUAGAUUUUCUUCGGCCUCCUUUGCUCUUAAUGAAGAAUUUGUUGCAUUGGCUCUGCAAUGCUCCAUUGGA